rnacentral:rRNA from 1 species
GCGUAUAUUAAGUUGUUGCAGUUAAAAAGCUCGUAGUUGAAUUUCGGGGUCAGCAGGUUGGUCGUGCCACUGGUAUGCACUGGCUUCGCUGAUUCCUCCUUUCUGAAGAACUGUAAUGCCAUUAAUUUGGUGUUGCAGGGAAACAGGACUGUUACUUUGAAAAAAUUAGAGUGUUUAAAGCAGGCUAACGCUUGAAUACAUUAGCAUGGAAUAAUGAAAUAGGACGUUUGAUCCUAUUUUGUUGGUUUCUAGGAUUGACGUAAUGAUUAAUAGGGAUAGUUGGGGGCAUUAGUAUUCAAUUGUCAGAGGUGAAAUUCUUGGAUUUAUUGAAGACUGACUACUGCGAAAGCAUUUGCCAAGGAUGUUUUCAUUAAUCACGAACGAAAGUUAGGGGAUCGAAGACGAUCAGAUACCGUCGUAGUCUUAACCAUAAA